GCGCGGGACCCGCGGCGCCCGGGGGCUCGGCUGGGGGUGGUGGGAGCGGCGGCGGAGCCGGGGGUGGCGGGGGCAGUGGGGGCGGCGGCGGC
ensembl:miRNA predicted gene, 23366